ACUUUUGUUUUCUUGAUUUUACAGGGAAAAUGUUUUCAUACAAAGAGGUUCCAGACCAAAUGUGAAGAAGGUCUUGAUAGUAAUUACUGAUGGAGAAUCCCAUGACCGGAAGGAUCUGGGACCUGCAGUGAAACUAGCAGAGAGUAAAAAGAUUGUUCGAUUUGCUAUUGGGGUGGGGAAUGCAUUUACUUCACCUGCAGCAAAGCAAGAACUGGACACCAUUGCAUCGUCUCCCUCAGACAAACACGUGUUUCGAGUGGAUAGCUUCAACGCACUUGAAAGAAUAAGCGAGAAUCUGCAGGACAAAAUAUUUUCCAUAGAAGGAUCUCAAAGCGGUGGAGAGUCACUGAAAAUGGAAAUGUCUCAGGAAGGAUUCAGUGCAGCUUUUGUGCCUGAGGGAAUUCAAAUGUCUAUUGUUGGUGCAAACCAGUGGAAGGGAGGCUACGUGCAGUACACAAGGGGCCAGAAGGUGAAGACAUAUGAGGAUGUGUCUUUGGAGCCUGACAGUUAUCUUGGU